UUACAUGACUAUUCACAGCUGACUCAUCUUGCUUGGAGCUGGAGGGCAGAGUGUAGACUUUGAAUAUCGCUCCCACAUGCAACUUUUCCGCCAACACAUUACAGGAUUGCUACUGUUCUCAGUAAUGCUUCAGUGUGUGGUACUCCUCAAAACAUGGGCUAACACAAAAGGGAGUGUUGCACAGCUCUCAUGUAUUUGGCCCCGUAUCAUUGCUGGGAGAAUGUGGAACUGGUAUACCAGUAUUCUUCCUCACAUAAGGCGGCAGUAAGGUAUAAACUGUUGAAAUGCCAGCUGCCCUUCCACUUCGUCAAUGAUUCAUCCAUGGAUAGGAACAAAAACAUGCUGAAAGGAGUGUUAUUCACUUACCUUGCAGUGCCACCUGGUCCUGCUGCCCUGGGAAGUGGUUUGAGGAACUUCAGAGGGGAAAUGCCUGGCUGUUCAGACGCAGGGGAUUGUCUGAGACAGGACGGCCCCCACUGCACCGAUACCGUGGUGAACAGUGCUCCUCAAGCAGCCCUCUCAUCAGAUUGAUCCUGAAUGGCAGAGAAACAGUGGAGUGCCCUAUCAAUAGUAAGGGGCCAGUAAGGACAUGACAACGGACUCAGAGAUCCCAGGUCCCUCAUAGUGGUGGAUGUCAGUGGAGGAUCCAGUGUAACCACAUCACACAAAACUACAAUAUAAGCUCAAUUACAUUAAUCUAAAUCUCAUUUACAUUAGUCAGAACCCACUUUGCCAGUUUUCCUUUCACUCCAGGUUGUGUUUUCUCCAGAUGUCCUGCGGCAUAGUGGUUUGUUUCCUGAUCUCCUCAAUAAGCUCCUCUGUUAUAAACAUUUUCAAAUAUUAGACCUCUGUGGGAGAUGCAGGUGGGGUCUGACUUUGAGGGUUAAAAAAAAACAAAAAAAAACAGGAGGGGUAAAAUUGCUGUAGCCCUCCAGCAAGAAGAGCUUACCUCCUCCACCUGCUUUGGUGUUGUGUUUGCAGGCGAUGAAGCAGUGGCUGAGACAUCUUCAGAAUUAAAAAAAUAUUUCUCUGAUCUCUCAUUAAUUGUUUUCUUUUAAAAGCAGAAUUUUUUUUUUUCUGUGGCAACUGUGUAAAUAAAUGCAAUUAGCUAAAGAAUUUGUGUGUGUAAAAUCUGUGACGAGCACCAAUGCGAGUCUGAGGUAAAGGUGACAUGCUGUGACACUUGUCACCGGGGGAAAGGGAAGACUACGGAGCAUUACAACAACAACAAAAAUAAAUAAAAUAAAGAAAAAUAUUAAGCAUUACUGAUGCCAAUCCUUUAUUUCAGAUUCUUAGUUUUUAUACAAAACAUCAUCUUAUUUACUUCAUUAAAAAUGUGUUAUUAGAUUCUCAAAUAUGUCAAACAUGUGUGUUUAUAUAACUUAUAUAAUGAUCGUAUUAUUAUCGAGAUAAAUGUAAUUAUUGAUAGGCUAUGACCAUGGCCAUGUUUGUUUACAUUUGCAGUGCAGACUUCAGA